UCGAGAAUUUUUCUCAAUGGGGGAAACCCUGAAGGAGCGACGCCGCGUGAAGGAUGAAGGUCUUCGGAUUGUAAACUUCUGUCAUUAGAGAACAAUUGCACGGGCAGUAACUGGCCUGUGCUUGAUAGUAUCUGAAGAGGAAGGGACGGCUAACUCUGUGCCAGCAGCCGCGGUAAUACAGAGGUCCCAAGCGUUGUUCGGAUUCAUUGGGCGUAAAGGGUGCGUAGGCGGUGCCGUAAGUCGGAUGUGAAAUCCCGGAGCUUAACUCCGGAACUGCAUUCGAUACUGCGGUGCUUGAGGACUGGAGAGGAGAUCGGAAUUCACGGUGUAGCAGUGAAAUGCGUAGAUAUCGUGAGGAAGACCAGUGGCGAAGGCGGAUCUCUGGACAGUUCCUGACGCUGAGGCACGAAGGCCAGGGGAGCAAACGGG
rnacentral:rRNA from 1 species